GUGCUUGCUUCAGCAGCACAUAUACUAAAGUAGGAACAAUAGAAGAUUAGCAUGGCUCCUGCACAAGGAUAACAUGUAAAUUCAUGAAGGGUUCCAUAUUUUU
ensembl:snRNA U6 U6 spliceosomal RNA